AUCCAGAUGACGCGUCCCAAAUUGGAUGAAGUGACGCGCGUCCUAGAU
rnacentral:hammerhead_ribozyme from 1 species